GCCUGGCCGUAAAUCUUGAUGCUUUAUCUAACCUGAGCAUCCGCCCGAGAACUACGAGCGCAAACGCUUAAAACUCUAAGGACUUGGCGGUGCCCCAAAUCCACCUAGAGGAGCCUGUUCUGUAAUCGAUGAUCCACGAUACACCCGACCAUUCCUUGCAAAAACAGCCUAUAUACCGCCGUCGCCAGCUCACCCUGCUUGAAGGUCCAACAGUGAACGCAAUAGCCUUUACCACGCUAAAAAGACAGGUCAAGGUAUAGCCUAUGGAAUGGAAGCAAUGGGCUACAUUUUCUAGCAUAGAACAGCACGGCAAAGGGGCAUGAAACUGCCCCUGGAAGGAGGAUUUAGCAGUAAAGUGGGAUAAUAGAGCCCUCUUUAAGCCGGCCCUGGGACACGU
rnacentral:rRNA from 1 species